UUACAGAGUUCAUGCCCUCACGGGUAGAUCUCCCACCCUUGUAAAUAUAACUAUCUGUUGCCUUGGCGGGCCUCGUGCCCGCCAGAGGACCCCCAAACUCUGUGUAUUAGUGUCGUCUGAGUACUAUAUAAUAGUUAAAACUUUCAACAACGGAUCUCUUGGUUCUGGCAUCGAUGAAGAACGCAGCGAAAUGCGAUAAGUAAUGUGAAUUGCAGAAUUCAGUGAAUCAUCGAAUCUUUGAACGCACAUUGCGCCCCUUGGUAUUCCGGGGGGCAUGCCUGUUCGAGCGUCAUUACAACCAAUCCAGCUUGCUGGGUCUUGGGCGCCGCCUCCGGGCGCGCCUUAAAAUCAGUGGCGGUGCCUGCGAGCUCUACGCGUAGUAAUUCUUCUCGCUACAGGGUCUCGUGGGAUGCUGGCCAUCAACCCCCAAUUUUUUUCAGGUUGACCUCGGAUCAGGUAGGGAUACCCGCUGAACUUAAGCAUAUCAAUAAGCGGAGGAAAAGAAACCAACAGGGAUUACCUCAGUAACGGCGAGUGAAGCGGUAACAGCUCAAAUUUGAAAUCUGGCUCUUUCAGGGUCCGAGUUGUAAUUUGUAGAAGAUGCUUUGGGUGUGGCUCUAGUCUAAGUUCCUUGGAACAGGACGUCAUAGAGGGUGAGAAUCCCGUAUGUGAUUAGGCGCCUUCGCCCGUGUAAAGCUCUUUCGACGAGUCGAGUUGUUUGGGAAUGCAGCUCAAAAUGGGUGGUAAAUUUCAUCUAAAGCUAAAUAUUGGCCAGAGACCGAUAGCGCACAAGUAGAGUGAUCGAAAGAUGAAAAGCACUUUGGAAAGAGAGUUAAACAGUACGUGAAAUUGUUGAAAGGGAAGCGCUUGCAACCAGACUCGCAGGCCGUCGAUCAUCCCUGGUUCUCCAGGGUGCACUCGGCGGCUUUCGGGCCAGCAUCGGUUUGGGUGGUGGGAUAAAGGCCUUGGG
rnacentral:misc_RNA from 1 species